rnacentral:lncRNA from 1 species
UUUUGAGCAGCAAGUCCCAAGAUCAAGAAAUCAGAAGGAACUAAUACUUUAACUAAUUAGUAGUAAUGAAAAUUUACUAGACAUCAAUGACAAAUUUACAAGGCAAAUUUAUUUCCAAAGUACAUUCAUAUAUAUCACAGUCUUUGCUACAGCAGUGUGUUCCUCUCAAGUCACCCACUCGUUCCUCCAGGGGUCAUUGGAGAGUUAUUAUUUUAAGUCUAGUUCCCAGGUAUGACUUCCAAUGCAGUGAAAGCUUCUACUGAGACUGUCUAAAACAUCUCUUGAAUCAUCUGCCUAGAACACAGCAAGAACCAGGAAAUGAGCUGACAAGACUGAGCAAAAGAGGCAGCAUCAAGCUGAUGAACUGAGGCGUGGGCAUUUUACUCAUGGGAAAGGCCCUCGGAACCCACGCUGAGCAUGCGCUGAAAACAAGUGUGAUCAGUGGGUUCCAAACACCCAGCAGAUACAUGUGAGGGUGAUCUGGCUGUGACUUCUGUCACCCCCUUGAUUACCAGGGUUGAUUCAGUUGAUCUGGCUGGCUAGGUGGGUGUCCCUUUCCCCACUUACUGCUCCAUGUGUGUCCCUCCUGAAUCUGUGCGCUUGGUUGAAGAGGAUGACCAUCCCGGAUAGAGGAGGACCAGUCUUUGGUCAAGGGUAUACAAGUAGCUGUGCCCGCUUGCUAGAACCUCCAAACAAGCUCUCAAGGUCCAAACAUCCAGCAGAUAAUUAGCAAUGGAUUAGAAAAGGGAGCUGGGAAGGUGGAAGGAAGCAGAAACAGUGAGCCCCCGAAUGAAAGAGACAGAAAAACUGAAACCUCAGAAGAGAGCAGUGUGGGGCUAAUGAACCUAGAGGCAAAGGGCCCUACCCAUCAACAGCCCCCAUGAAGGUAGUCACUGGGGGGCCUGAGGAUGCACCAUCAGGGAGAAGUUCAGUUCAAUGUAAUCUGUGGAAGAAAGCAGAGAGCACAGCCUGUCAUGGAGAAGGAUUUCCAUUCAAAACCAUAGAUGUCAUAGAAGUUUCGAUGCUUAAAAGACCUGUGAUUGUCUAGAAAGCUUGGCUUUUCCCAAAGGAUUCUGUGAGGCUGAAGUGUUACCAGGUGAUUAAGGGUCUCACCCUGUCACCCAGGCUAGAGUGCAGUGACACAAUGAUAGCUUAUUGUAACCUCAAACUCCCGGGCUCAAGGGAUCCUCCUGCUUCAGCCUCCCAAGUAGCUAGGAUUACAGGUGAAGAGAAAUGAAGCUAACAUGUUGAAAUGAGUGGCCCCAAGGAUUACCAGAAAAGAAGUUAAUGUUCAGAAAGAGAAAAUAAAAGUUCUCUGUAUUUUAUUCCCCUCAGAGAUAACAAAAGUUGACAUUUUGUUGUAUUUUUCUCUAAGCUUUUUUUUUCCUUUGCUAUAAAUGCAAAAGGCAUCACAAUAUUUGGUAAACAUUUUCCUCUUAUUCAGUAGUUUCUGAAAACAUGAUGUUAAAUAGUUGUGUAACAUUCUCUCAUGCAGAUGUCCCAUAGUUCAUAGUUCAUUUAACUUCUCUUUUCCUGUGGGGUAUUUGAGCUGCUUCCUAUUUGCCUGUGUAAAGAAUCCUGUGAGAAACAUGUUUGCCCCUUCCCUUCCCUUCCCUUCCCUUCCC